rnacentral:rRNA from 1 species
AUGGAAAACUCGAAGAAGGCUCGGUUGGCACAUGAAGCUCUUAAAUACUUGAGAGUCUUUUACAACAAGGUCCUACAGGACUAUACCUAUGAUAGGUUGCAGUUGGUUGAACAAGGACCUAUAAGACUACAUACAUAUAUUACACCGGUUGUCCCAGCUCAUAGUUGGUUGUCAUCAGUCCGGUUGGUUGAACAAGGUCCUAUAAGACUACAUACAUAUAUUGCUACAGAUAUGAUGUUGCCAUUUUAUUGCUACAGAUAUGGUGUUGUUCUGAUUGCAUACAUACAUAUAAUUCUGCAGUUUGUUCACGCCCGAAUAAUA